GGUGUGUGUGUGUGGGGGGGGAGAGUGUAUGCAGUCUGAAUUCAGUUUUCACUGUGGAAAAAGUGGGUGGUGGUAGUGUUUGGGAGGAAGAGAUAGUUUUUAAGAAUGGCAGGAAGAGUCUGCCUUGUGCAUUAUUAUUGCACCAGAAAUACUUGGCACAUGAUGGAUCCUCAACACAUACUGAAUUAAAGAAAGAGAAAGGGAAGGGAGACCCUAUUGUUGGAACUGUUGGGAGGGAAGGAGAGGGAGGCUCAUUGGGAUUGGUACAAAAUGAAGGUCUGCUACAGGCCGACACUCUGCUGUUUCUAUCUGUUUAAAGGCUAGAACUUCUCUGGUUGCUUUUUGAGAGCUUCCUUCUCUUUACAGCCUGUCACUCUGAUGUGAGCUGCUGUCCUGUGUGAUUCACAUUCUGAUCUUGUUCCUCUUUCUGGGACCCCAAGAGAAGACCGACCUGCAAGACAUUUCACAGGCCCUGCUUGCUUGGGCUGGAGAGAUUCCAGAAGUGAUACAUCUGUUUUUCAGUAGAAGCCUCUGAUACCUGUUAGUCCCAGGCUGGGGGAAGUGAGCACAGAGAUCAUACUUUGGUGAGUUUUGGUUUCAGCCAACUUUAUAUUUCCAAGAAAAAAGUGCUGAAGUGUUACGUAGGGCUAGUUAAUAGGAACCUUUCUCUAGGGCUCAGGCAAGCAAUCACUGAGUGGACUGGACCCCCAGGACUGUGCUUUAUCGUAGGACAGAGUUAAAAAAAAUAACUAGUCCCAGACAUAAUUCCAGAAAGGACUCAAAGGGAUGAUUAGGCUCUAUGAUGAGGAAAAACCUAGUGUGGGACUCAACCCUUUUUCUUCUCUAGGCACAUGUAGAGUCCCUUGAUAUUGUUUGUCUUUACAGAAUUGUGAUUUAAAUUUGACCUAGAAAACUUUCCAAAGGAUUAAAGUAAGACCAAAUAGGAAAAUUACAUUCUGUGGCCCUUAGCAUCAGUCCCUCACCAUCUUUAAUAAAAAGAAGACCAUCCUCCUUUGUUUUUGGAAGAACUAUUCUAUAGAACAAGAGAAUAUAUACAUUGGCCCAAUAGAAUCCUCCUGUGCUUGAGUGUUUAUAUGUGCAUGUGUUAAGUUGUACCUCAGUAUAAGGAAGCAAAAACUCAAAUAUUCCAAUCACCAGGUUUCCUUCUACUUUCCUUUGGUGCUGCAAGUAAUCCAGUUACUCAGCAAAGUGUGAAGAGGUUAAAUCUAACAGUAUUAUGGCCAUAUUUAUACCAAUCUAUCACAAAUGACUGGGGAUAUGCUAGGAGUAGAGCUUGUCUUAAGACAGUCUGAGCCAGAAAUAUGACAAGAUUUAGAAAAGAAAAAAGAAAACUCUUGUUUUCCUACAUGUACCAAACGUGCUAAUUGAUCUCAGCAUAGUAAUCUCAUAUAAAGUGCUUCAGAGUUGGACACAAUACCUUU